UAUGGAGAGUUUGAUCCUGGCUCAGGAUGAACGCUGGCGGCGUGCCUAAUACAUGCAAGUCGAGCGAACAGACAAGGAGCUUGCUCCUUUGACGUUAGCGGCGGACGGGUGAGUAACACGUGGGUAACCUACCUAUAAGACUGGGAUAACUUCGGGAAACCGGAGCUAAUACCGGAUAAUAUUUCGAACCGCAUGGUUCGAUAGUGAAAGAUGGUUUUGCUAUCACUUAUAGAUGGACCCGCGCCGUAUUAGCUAGUUGGUAAGGUAACGGCUUACCAAGGCGACGAUACGUAGCCGACCUGAGAGGGUGAUCGGCCACACUGGAACUGAGACACGGUCCAGACUCCUACGGGAGGCAGCAGUAGGGAAUCUUCCGCAAUGGGCGAAAGCCUGACGGAGCAACGCCGCGUGAGUGAUGAAGGUCUUCGGAUCGUAAAACUCUGUUAUUAGGGAAGAACAUACGUGUAAGUAACUGUGCACGUCUUGACGGUACCUAAUCAGAAAGCCACGGCUAACUACGUGCCAGCAGCCGCGGUAAUACGUAGGUGGCAAGCGUUAUCCGGAAUUAUUGGGCGUAAAGCGCGCGUAGGCGGUUUUUUAAGUCUGAUGUGAAAGCCCACGGCUCAACCGUGGAGGGUCAUUGGAAACUGGAAAACUUGAGUGCAGAAGAGGAAAGUGGAAUUCCAUGUGUAGCGGUGAAAUGCGCAGAGAUAUGGAGGAACACCAGUGGCGAAGGCGACUUUCUGGUCUGUAACUGACGCUGAUGUGCGAAAGCGUGGGGAUCAAACAGGAUUAGAUACCCUGGUAGUCCACGCCGUAAACGAUGAGUGCUAAGUGUUAGGGGGUUUCCGCCCCUUAGUGCUGCAGCUAACGCAUUAAGCACUCCGCCUGGGGAGUACGACCGCAAGGUUGAAACUCAAAGGAAUUGACGGGGACCCGCACAAGCGGUGGAGCAUGUGGUUUAAUUCGAAGCAACGCGAAGAACCUUACCAAAUCUUGACAUCCUUUGACAACUCUAGAGAUAGAGCUUUCCCCUUCGGGGGACAAAGUGACAGGUGGUGCAUGGUUGUCGUCAGCUCGUGUCGUGAGAUGUUGGGUUAAGUCCCGCAACGAGCGCAACCCUUAAGCUUAGUUGCCAUCAUUAAGUUGGGCACUCUAAGUUGACUGCCGGUGACAAACCGGAGGAAGGUGGGGAUGACGUCAAAUCAUCAUGCCCCUUAUGAUUUGGGCUACACACGUGCUACAAUGGACAAUACAAAGGGCAGCGAAACCGCGAGGUCAAGCAAAUCCCAUAAAGUUGUUCUCAGUUCGGAUUGUAGUCUGCAACUCGACUACAUGAAGCUGGAAUCGCUAGUAAUCGUAGAUCAGCAUGCUACGGUGAAUACGUUCCCGGGUCUUGUACACACCGCCCGUCACACCACGAGAGUUUGUAACACCCGAAGCCGGUGGAGUAACCAUUUGGAGCUAGCCGUCGAAGGUGGGACAAAUGAUUGGGGUGAAGUCGUAACAAGGUAGCCGUAUCGGAAGGUGCGGCUGGAUCACCUCCUU
rnacentral:rRNA from 2 species